CAGAGUUCAUGCCCUUCGGGGUAGACCUCCCACCCUGUUUAAUUACUAUUGUUGCUUUGGCAGGCACGACACGGGCGAGCCAAAAGCCCCCCAAUUCUAUGUUAUUUGUCGUCUGAGUACUAUAUAAUAAGUUA
rnacentral:misc_RNA from 1 species